rnacentral:lncRNA from 1 species
UUGUAAAGGACGUUUGGGAGUCGAAAAUUAAUGAAUUGAGCUCCCGAAGAAUUUUUUCCGGUGGACUUGCUUUUCGGCGAAUUUGGGUUUCCUUUUCAAUUGCUUCUCUUUAUCUUCGCUUUUGUAAUAGUCGUCGCACCAUGAGUACCAGAGCUGAGAAAGUAUACGGUGACACCAUGAGUACCAGAGCUGAGAAAGUAUAUGGUGUUGCCAUGAGUACCAAAGCUUAUAGAAACCUUGAAGAAAGAGGAUGGGUGGGCCUUCACCUAUAUAUGCUACGUGCAUAUUGAUUCCGUUCACGUGUAUGUUUUUGGUUGCUUUAUUCUUUUAGUGAAAUCAGUUUGGUGUUGUAUUGAUUUUUCGCAUAUUAUUUUCCGCUCGAUUUGGGAUGGACUUGAAUUUGACGUUUCCAUAUUAGUUUGAUUUGGGAAUUUCUUCCGAUUUCGGCUGAUUUGAUGUUCCCCCCUUUCUUUGUUGUUUAUUAUUAUAUUGUUGGAAUAUGAUUUUUUGGGGUUGUUCUAUUUCACCGGAGUUUCCGGUUUUACGUGUGCAUACUGUUCAUCUUGUUCGUAAAUCAGGUUUUGUUGUUUGGUUGUUCUAUUUCAGCUUGAUUCGGUGCUUGUUGCUUAUUUAAUCUGUUUCUGACUGUUGUGGUGUUCCUUCUUCAUGAUACCGUCGUACUUUAGUCACGGCGGG